rnacentral:rRNA from 1 species
UACGUAGGGUGCGAGCGUUGUCCGGAAUUAUUGGGCGUAAAGAGCUCGUAGGCGGUGUGUCGCGUCGGCCGUGAAAACCUGCAGCUUAACUGUGGGCUUGCGGUCGAUACGGGCAUCACUGGAGUUCGGCAGGGGAGACUGGAAUUCCUGGUGUAGCGGUGAAAUGCGCAGAUAUCAGGAGGAACACCGGUGGCGAAGGCGGGUCUCUGGGACGGUACUGACGCUGAGACGCGAAAGCGUGGGGAGCGAACAGG